ACCGAGUUGGGGUUCAGUUGGGAGAGCGUUAGACUAUAGAUCGAAAAGUCGUUGGUUCGAUCCCGGGUUGCGGCA
rnacentral:tRNA from 1 species